rnacentral:lncRNA from 1 species
AUGCUAAAACAGAGUCAUGGUGAGUGUCGUGGAAGCACUCAGUCACUCAGCAGGUCUGUGGGGCAUCUGUGCUGCGCCUUGUACUGGUUGGCGGUAGGUACUCAGGAUACAGGGGAGAGCAAAGUGGGUGAGCAUCCUUGUAUUGUGGUGCUUAUUGCCCCACAGUGCCGUAAUUUCCCCAGGAAAAAUUCUGUUGCUUCUACCUGGGUUUUGGAAGCUUUCCUGGAGGAGAUGGUGCCAGGGCCAAUUUUAAAGGGAAGUAAGACUGGAGAAGGAGGGAGGAAGGUGGAGUGGGAGGGCCAGACAUGGAAGAGGGGAGGGAUGGGUAGAAUGGAGCUAGUAAUAGAGGUGGGAUGGGGGCAGAGGAGGAAGAGUGGAGUAGAGGGGAGGGAGGCAGGUGAGGUGUGGGCUGGGAGGGAGGGGGAUGUUGGCGGAGCAGGUGUUUUUCUAGUACAGAGCAGGUGCUGAGAUAUUGAAGCAACAUGAUUGGGCCUGAACAUAUGUUCCAUUUGUAAGAAAAGAGAUGAACUGAUCCUGGUCCCAAGGGGUGUUUGAUGGUGUUGGGCAGACAAGGUGAAUACAUGAAAUGGUACUGUGCAGCCUGGUUGAAGGAGAUGCUGAAUUUUGCAGCUCUGGUUGUAAAUUGUUUAUCAGCAGAAUCUGAGUAGCCAGCCUGUUGCAUAACUUCAACCUGCUCUCUGGUCCUUAGUCGUCCAUUAAAUGUUUAUGAGCACCUCUGAGGUCCUGGAUAGAGUAGAUUCUGCCAAUACAAAGGUAAAAACUUAAGGACAAAGCCUGUUGUUCUAGGGCCUCAUAGAUAUUAAGAGACAAAGGUAAGCUUCUAUAAUACCAAGAAGUGAUGAGUUUUUCCAGGAACAGGAAACAAAUCUGAGUGGGGUACAAAGGAGCAGGCUGACAUUUUCUGUGGGGCUUUGUUAUUGCAG